rnacentral:rRNA from 1 species
UAGAAGAAGGAGAAGUUGUAACCAGGGUUUCGUUGGUGGACCUGGGGAAAGAUCCUUUGC